rnacentral:rRNA from 1 species
CUGGGCUUGACAUGUUCCUGACAGCCGUGGAAACACGGUCUCCCUUCGGGGCAGGAUCACAGGUGGUGCAUGGCUGUCGUCAGCUCGUGUCGUGAGAUGUUGGGUUAAGUCCCGCAACGAGCGCAACCCCCGUCGCAUGUUGCCAGCAUUUAGUUGGGGACUCAUGCGAGACUGCCGGUGACAAACCGGAGGAAGGUGGGGAUGACGUCAAGUCAUCAUGCCCCUUAUGUCCAGGGCUACACACGUGCUACAUUGGCGCGUACAGAGGGUUGCGAUACCGCGAGGUGGAGCGAAUCCCUUAAAGCGCGUCUCGGUUCGGAUUGCAGGCUGAAACUCGCCUGCAUGAAGGCGGAGUUGCUAGUAAUCGCGGAUCAGCAUUGCCGCGGUGAAUACGUUCCCGGGCCUUGUACACACCGCCCGUCACACCAUGGGAGUGAGUAACACCCGAAGCCGGUGGCCUAACCUUUUGGAGGGAGCCGUCGAAGGUGGGACUCGUGACUGGGGUG